rnacentral:rRNA from 1 species
UGCANUCGAACGGCAGCACGGNNNGCUUGCACCUGGUGGCGAGUGGCGAACGGGUGAGUAAUACAUCGGAACAUGUCCUGUAGUGGGGGAUAGCCCGGCGAAAGCCGGAUUAAUACCGCAUACGAUCCANGGAUGAAAGCGGGGGACCUUCGGGCCUCGCGCUAUAGGGUUGGCCGAUGGCUGAUUAGCUAGUUGGUGGGGUAAAGGCCUACCAAGGCGACGAUCAGUAGCUGGUCUGAGAGGACGACCAGCCACACUGGGACUGAGACACGGCCCAGACUCCUACGGGAGGCAGCAGUGGGGAAUUUUGGACAAUGGGCGAAAGCCUGAUCCAGCAAUGCCGCGUGUGUGAAGAAGGCCUUCGGGUUGUAAAGCACUUUUGUCCGGAAAGAAAACCUCUGGGUUAAUACCCUGGGGGGAUGACGGUACCGGAAGAAUAAGCACCGGCUAACUACGUGCCAGCAGCCGCGGUAAUACGUAGGGUGCGAGCGUUAAUCGGAAUUACUGGGCGUAAAGCGUGCGCAGGCGGUUUGUUAAGACAGAUGUGAAAUCCCCGGGCUCAACCUGGGAACUGCAUUUGUGACUGGCAGGCUAGAGUAUGGCAGAGGGGGGUAGAAUUCCACGUGUAGCAGUGAAAUGCGUAGAGAUGUGGAGGAAUACCGAUGGCGAAGGCAGCCCCCUGGGCCAAUACUGACGCUCAUGCACGAAAGCGUGGGGGAGCAAACAGGAUUAGAUACCCUGGUAGUCCACGCCCUNAACGAUGUCAACUAGUUGUUGGGGAUUCAUUUCCUUAGUAACGUAGCUAACGCGUGAAGUUGACCGCCUGGGGAGUACGGUCGCAAGAUUAAAACUCAAAGGAAUUGACGGGGACCCGCACAAGCGGUGGAUGAUGUGGAUUAAUUCGAUGCAACGCGAAAAACCUUACCUACCCUUGACAUGGUCGGAAUCCUGAAGAGAUUCGGGAGUGCUCGAAAGAGAACCGGCGCACAGGUGCUGCAUGGCUGUCGUCAGCUCGUGUCGUGAGAUGUUGGGUUAAGUCCCGCAACGNNNGCAACCCUUGUCCUUAGUUGNNANGCAAGAGCACUCUAAGGAGACUGCCGGUGACAAACCGGAGGAAGGUGGGGAUGACGUCAAGUCCUCAUGGCCCUUAUGGGUAGGGCUUCACACGUCAUACAAUGGUCGGAACAGAGGGUUGCCAACCCGCGAGGGGGAGCUAAUCCCAGAAAACCGAUCGUAGUCCGGAUUGCACUCUGCAACUCGAGUGCAUGAAGCUGGAAUCGCUAGUAAUCGCGGAUCAGCAUNCCGCGGUGAAUACGUUCCCGGGUCUUGUACACACCGCCCNNNNNNNNAUGGGAGUGGGUUUUACCAGAAGUG